GUGCUCGCACUGACAGCACACAUCCUAAAAUUGGGACGAUACAGAGAAGAUUGGCAUGGCCCCUGUGCAAGUGUGACGUGCAGAUUCGCGAAGUGUUUAUUGUCUGG
ensembl:snRNA U6 U6 spliceosomal RNA